GUCAAAUGGUAUCUUUUACAUUUUCCUGUCUUUGUGUCUUUUACUUUCCACGUGUUAUGUUUUGUUUCUUUUAUUUCCACGUGUUCUGUUAUUAAUUCCUCCACCCAUCCACCGCCUCAGAUUUUUCUUGAUUCUUCAUUAUCGCUUUCUGUUUGAAGUCCAUUCCAAUCCACCGGUUUCCUCGAUCGAUUUCCCUCAAAAGCAUCCGACUACCAUACCAGAUAACACCCACCGACACAUCACCAACACCCUCCGUCGCCAACUCAUCAACAUCACCCACCGUUCCUAGAGUUUUCUUUUCUUCUAUCUUUCUUUUUUUGCGAUCGAUGCUCCUUUUCUUUUGCCUCUCGUGAUGGUUCUCUUCUGCUCAAAAAUUAACACAGCCUCCAACCGGGGUUAGUACCGCCAAACCUUCACCGACUUGCUUCCAGCUACGAUGUUUCCCAUCUUCGCUACCGCCAGCCCCCACCUACUUUAACCUUACGCGUCUUCAUGCCGACCGCCUCAACGUACUAUAUCCAGAUGAUGCUACUGACGACGCCUCCGCCUCCGCCUUCUUUCACGCUGUUAACGCCACCCAGUUCAAGUAUACAUCUUGGUUUCUCAUCUAUUAUCUAUUUUUCCUCCACUAUUAAAUGUAGUUAUGGUGCUGAUUACUACUAAAACCGUCACUUUUUAUCUCUUUCCUUGGGUAACAACACUCAAAUCCAACAACAUUUAAGAAUGGGAGAAAGUUCAAUGACUAUCAAUUAAGAGAUAGAGAUAGUUGUUGGCGCCUUUGUGCUGAUGCCGAUACUGUUCAUAGCAGAAAGAGGCAACACUGCUGGUGGGUUGGAGUGGCGAUGGUGCUGUGAUUUUCCAAUUAUCAACCCUAAAACUUCUUAUUUUCUAUCAUAUAAACCAAAAAUUACCUUGAUAAAAAAGUAUUUGAGUAUCACGUAAGAAUUCUGAAAUUUGUUAUGCAUGUUCAAAUUUCUGAUUCGAAUUUUUUUUAGCUUUCAAAGAUGGCAUAUGUAAACUGAAGAUGAAGAAUUGAACCGGUAAGCAUCUGCAAUCGUCUUUUUGCCUUUUGCUUGCAGAAUAGUUUUUGUUCCUUUUUUAUUGACAUUUUUAAACGGCAUGAAAUACUUGGUGAUGUGUACGUUUGAUUGGAAGAGGUUGCUACUCAUCUCCAAAUUUACAUGCUUUGUUUUUUAUUUUUGUAAUGUUUCUGUCGAUUUAUAAGGGUAUGGUUGUGGUUUUAGUGAUGUUUUGAUGCACAAUAACUGUUCAACGAAAUGUCUGCAUAAAACUUAAGUAAACUAUAUAUGUUUGUUUGCUGUUUGUUUUUUGUUUUACAUCUUUUUAAUUUUAACGACCUUACCAUCUAUAUUUAGUUUACUGAUAUAGUCCAUUUAAGGAUGAUCAUAGGUUCCUUAUUGACCUCCAUUUUAAACAUGGAUGGCUGCUCGAAAGUUCGCUGCUAUUUUUGUCUUUUACUCGGUCGCCCUUUCGCAUUGCUUAAUAGGUCAGGGAAAAAGGUUUGAUAUUAAUUUGAUAAAAGUAUUCUCAGAUGCUAUGCGCAUACCGGUGAUCGCAAGUAUUGGUGCAGGAAUUGCUCAACAUUCAUCACAUGUUUUUGAAAAGAAAAAUGCUUCAAUGCCUGGUGCACGCAAUUUUCAUAAGCAAGAGGAAGAUUAAUAAUUUGGCUGGAAAAAAUCGAUUGGAUUCAACAUUCUUUUUGAUGAUUACAAAAGUUUGGUUAGGUGCAAAGGAGACAAAACAUGAUGAAGGAUGAGACUUGGAUGGAGUUAGGAGGGGGAGUCGUGAAUUAGAGAGAGGCUGAAGAGGGAGACUUAAAAUAAGGUGGGUUACAGAGUAAGACCACUCGACCGGUAACUAUCCUUUGCUUAAAGCCAAUCCACAAGAUGCGUGGACGUCAUUUUAAUUUAGUGUUGGAUUCCUUUAUCAUAAAAAGUUAUCAAUGUAUCAUCUAUGUUGUUUGGAUAUAAAUUUUCUUACUUAAUUCAUUUAUAAUAUUUUAACUAUGUAUAGAAAGAAAAAAAGUCAUUAUAUUUUUUAUUGUUUUUUUG